rnacentral:rRNA from 1 species
UACGUAGGGUGCGAGCGUUAAUCGGAAUACUGGGCGUAAAGCGUGCGCAGGCGGUUUUGUAAGCCAGAUGUGAAAUCCCCGGGCUCAACCUGGGAAUGGCAUUUGGGACUGCAAGGCUUGAGUGCGGCAGAGGAGACUGGAAUUCCUGGUGUAGCAGUGAAAUGCGUAGAUAUCAGGAGGAAUACCGAUGGCGAAGGCAGGUCUCUGGGCUGACACUGACGCUCAUGCACGAAAGCGUGGGGAG